rnacentral:lncRNA from 1 species
UGGAGGGUAAGGAGCUAUUUGAACUCAAGUAGGUAGAUUGCAAAUUGAGUUUGAUGGCAAGAAACCCCUAGACAAUAGCUGAUUUUGAUUUAGAGGCAUAUGAGGAACUUUUCCACUUGAAGAUCUAGAUGAAGCAUUGCAUCAUUGAGGCUUUUCUAGAUCUUGAAAGCUAGAAAAACUCAUCUCCAAAAAUCUUAUGUAG